rnacentral:rRNA from 1 species
AGCAGCAGCCACGGGAAUACGUAGGUGGCAAGCGUUGUCCGGAAUUAUUGGGCGUAAAGGGCUCGCAGGCGGUUUCUUAAGUCUGAUGUGAAAGCCCCCGGCUCAACCGGGGAGGGUCACUGGAAACUGGGAAACUUGAGUGCAGAAGAGGAGAGUGGAAUUCCACGUGUAGCGGUGAAAUGCGUAGAGAUGUGGAGGAACACCAGUGGCGAAGGCGACUCUCUGGUCUGUAACUGACGCUGAGGAGCGAAAGCGUGGGGAGCGAACAGGAUUAGAUACCCCCGUAGUCCCUGUCUCUUAUAC